UAGGUAACCUGCCCAUGUGCCCGGGAUAACUUCUGGAAACGGAUGCUAAAACCGGAUAGGUAGCAGACAAGCAUUUGACUGCUAUUAAAGUGGCUAAGGCCAUGAACAUGGAUGGACCUGCGGUGCAUUAGCUAGUUGGUGAGGUAACGGCCCACCAAGGCGACGAUGCAUAGCCGGCCUGAGAGGUUGAACGGCCACAUUGGGACUGAGACACGGCCCAGACUCCUACGGGAGGCAGCAUG
rnacentral:rRNA from 1 species